CCUACGGGUGGCAGCAGUGAGGAAUAUUGGUCAAUGGGCGUAAGUCUGAACCAGCCAAGUCGCGUGAGGGAUGAAGGCCCUAUGGGUUGUAAACUUCUUUUAUAUGGGAAUAAAACGUUGCACGUGUGGUAUUUUGUAUGUACCAUAUGAAUAAGGAUCGGCUAACUCCGUGCCAGCAGCCGCGGUAAUACGGAGGAUCCGAGCGUUAUCCGGAUUUAUUGGGUUUAAAGGGUGCGUAGGCGGAUUGUUAAGUCAGUUGUGAAAGUUUGCGGCUCAACCUUAAAAUUGCAGUUGAAACUGGCAGGCUUGAGUAUAGUAGAGGUGGGCGGAAUGCGUGGUGUAGCGGUGAAAUGCUUAGAUAUCACGAAGAACUCCGAUUGCGAAGGCAGUUCAC
rnacentral:rRNA from 1 species